rnacentral:lncRNA from 1 species
AUUAUGACAUGGUUGGCUCCCUGAAUCCUGUCCAUCAUAGCACCAGACUUUCACUGCAUCCUUUCUUGGGAAUCUGAAUGUAAGGGUACAAAAUAAAGCCUUGGGAUAGCAGAAUGACAGAUAAUCCCCUCAAGUACAAUUCUUAUUUCUGCCAGGUUGGACUUUGCAUGUAGAAUCAACCCUAUGAAUAUAUUUUUAAAUCUCUGAAUUUCAGAGCCAAUAUCCCAAGUCAUCUGGAAUCAGAAGCACUCGCCCAAACAGCCAUUGUCAUUCAUAGGAUAGAUGCACAGCAGCUGGCAGAUGUUGGAGGGUGAUAAUAUUUCCUGUUUGUAGAGCUAAGGACAGUAUUUCUGAUACCAUUCCCUUGCAGUCCAGUCCCCUACAGCCAUCCAAUGGAAAAAGGUUUCCAGGUCCCAUUACUACCUUUGGCUUGAGAGCUUUGGUUGCUUUUGUUUCUGUCACCACUACUUACCACUGGUUCUGAAAAGUGGAUAGAUACUGAAAGAACAAGGAUGCCUGAUGGGAUUUGGGAGAAAAUUUUUGCAUUAGGAGCUGUAAGACCAUUGGUUUCCCUAAGUCUACACUUGGCCAUGAAUAAAUGAAUUUUAAAAAUGACUGUCA